CACGGGGGGGAGCAAGCGUUGUUCGGAAUCACUGGGCGUAAAGGGCGUGUAGGCGGUCAAGUAAGUGGAAUGUGAAAGCCCCCGGCUUACCCGGGGAUCUGCAUCCCAAACUGCUUGGCUUGAGUACGGGAGAGGAUAGGGGAAUUCCUGGUGUAGCGGUGAAAUGCGUAGAUAUCAGGAGGAACACCGGUGGCGAAGGCGACCUACGUCUGGCCCGAUACUGACGCUGAGGCCGCGAAAGCUAGGGGAGCAAACGGG
rnacentral:rRNA from 1 species